GGAUCUCUUGGUUCUGGCAUCGAUGAAGAACGCAGCGAAAUGCGAUAAGUAGUGUGAAUUGCAGAAUUCAGUGAAUCAUCGAAUCUUUGAACGCACAUUGCGCCCCUUGGUAUUCCAUGGGGCAUGCCUGUUCGAGCGUCAUUUGUACCCUCAAGCUUUGCUUGGUGAUGGGUGUUUGUCCUGUCCUUUUGCGACUGGACUCGCCUUAAAGUUAUUGGCAGCCGGCAUUUUGGCCUUGGAGCGCAGCACAAUUUGCGAGUCCAAGCCGGAAUACUGACGUCCAGAUAAGCUUUUUACCACGUCUGACCUCGGAUCAGGUAGGGAUACCCGCUGAACUUAAGCAUAUCAAUAAGCGGAGGA
rnacentral:rRNA from 1 species